rnacentral:rRNA from 1 species
AUUGAACGCUGGCGGCAUGCCUUACACAUGCAAGUCGAACGGCAGCACGGGAGCAAUCCUGGUGGCGAGUGGCGAACGGGUGAGUAAUAUAUCGGAACGUGCCCAGUCGUGGGGAUAACGUAGCGAAAGCUACGCUAAUACCGCAUACGAUCUAUGGAUGAAAGCGGGGGAUCGCAAGACCUCGCGCGAUUGGAGCGGCUGAUAUCAGAUUAGGUAGUUGGUGAGGUAAAGGCUCACCAAGCCGACGAUCUGUAGCUGGUCUGAGAGGACGACCAGCCACACUGGGACUGAGACACGGCCCAGACUCCUACGGGAGGCAGCAGUGGGGAAUUUUUGGACAAUGGGCGCAAGCCUGAUCCAGCAAU